AGCGGAGUGGAGAAGUGGUCAUCUCGCUUGGCUCAUAACCAAGAGAUCGUCGGUUCGAAUCCGACCUGCCGCAACCA
rnacentral:tRNA from 1 species